CAGGAAAAAUCACAUAAAACUAUAUGAACUUAGAUUAAUUGAAAACAGUCACAAGAUGAAGUAUUCUCUUGAUGGUCAUAGAUUUCACUACUGCCACAAAUAAACCAAUAGCUUUCAAAAAAAAGAUAAUUAAGGAGGAAAAUGCCAAGCAAGACAAUAUUUGCACUUAUAACAGCAAGAGACUUUCAGAAACGUUUAAAAACAUGCAAAAGCUAAAGCUAUAUAUCACCAUCAUAUUUCCUAAGAAGUGUUAAAAUUUCCUCAGAAACCUCUUUCCUAGCAUUUAAUCCCGUUAUAAAAUCAAGAUGACUAAAAUCAGAAAUAAUCUUAUGGUAUGUGAGGUUGGAGAUUUUGGGUACCAAAUUUGCAACAUCUUCUGGGUCAGACAAAAAAUCUUUUAAACCACUAAACAUGGCAGUUGGAACCUUCAUGUCUUCCACAUUGUAUACAGGAGGAGUAGUCUGACGGAAAAAUGACAAAGAGCAAUGUGUUAAUAAAAAACUUAACAAAUUCAACAAAACAUUAACAAAAAUAACAAACAUUUUAUGGCUCAUUCUCAUCUGUGACAGAAUGAGAAUGACACACUUAUUAUAUCCAUAGUAAUCAUUGAUCUCAGCGUUUCUCAGGUAAAAAGCAAUCUUAUUUAUAUAUAUUUGCUUACUUUAGUUUUGUCACAGCUACUGUCUAUGUAGUCUAUGCUGCUUUCUUGCCAGAAUCCUCCCCUCUCAGUAUCCUGAAUCCUGAGGUUAUUGCUAUGAUCCAUCCCCCUAUUAUAGUGAUCUGUCAUCCAAACUUGAUAUCAUACAAGUCCCAAGUUCUCUGAAUCUAGAUCUAUACAUGUGAAAUGACUCUAUCAAUAAGUGUCUGAUAAAUCCCACAUAAUUUUGUGAGAUCCACAUGAUGUGUUAGGCAGAAUAUUGUAACAGUAUCACUAUACACAAAAUAAUGCUAUACAUUUUGAUUCCUCUCAAAGUUCUGUGUAGUCCCUCUUCCAAAGAAAAAUGAAAUAUUCCAAAGACUUAUUUAAAAUCAAGGUUUAGAUUUCUUAGACCAUAUACCUUUUGUAAGGGCCAUAUCAUUAAAUCUGGGAGAAGAGACUUACCUGAUUGUAGUGUUGCAUAUUCAGAGAUGGACUUCCCCAAUCAUAAGCCUGAAAUACACCACUUCUAAUUGCCUAAAAUACAGAGGAAACAUACCAUUAAUUACAAAAACUUAUGAUAGAAUCAACAUUUAUUGAGUUCUGUUGUCUCGUUUUACAGUAAUGACACAUUGGCCCAGAUAAAUCCAGUACAUUUUCUAUCUUAAUGAUAGUAGUGUAAUGAUUAAUCAAUGGCUACCAAAUUUAAGUCCUAGAGACUUACACAUUUUAUGAGUAAGUAUAAGAAGGACCUUGAAAAUAUUUUUAUUUUUAUAACACCUCAAACAAAAUAUAUUUUACAACCAUUUUAAUAAUACUUAAACCGUAUCAAUUAAUAUGUAUGUGACAGCAAGAAAAGUCGAUAAGAAGCUGAAAAAUAUCAUUCAUGAAUGAUAAAAGUUUAGUUAAUAAUGUAGUGAUGUAUCAUUUUAUGCUAUAUUUAGUUUUAGUAGUAUGUAGCCAAUCUCAUCUUAUAAUUGUUUAAUUAUCUAAUGUGUUUAACUAUAAGAAUUUAAAUCAAUGUGUAGAAGAAGAAUAAAAUGUAUAAUCUCACAUUAGUACUUGUAAAAGUUACUUUACUACUCUCUAAUUCAAAUGAAUUCAAACUAUACUUCAGAGUAAUUUAGUUGCUCCUUGGAUUAAUAUUUUAUGUAGUAAAAUUUGUACCCUUCAUAUAUAGUUUCAUUUACAUAAUUGUUCUUUAAUUUUACACAAUACAAGAGUUUUCAGAAAAUGUUAAGGUAGUGUUAUGCUGAAUAUUAUUUAUAUCUAAAAUUAGAAAAACUUAAGCGAAUAUAAUGAUCAGGAGUAAAUAACAGAAACCAUUGUUAAGGGAGUUGCAGUAUCCAGAAUAGAAUUUUGUCAACAAAGUAAUUUAAAGCAAAAUAUCUCAGGAUGUAAAGCAUUCUAAUUUAUUGAUAAUGGGAUAAUAAAAAUUUUCAUACCAUUAAGACACAUAACAUGCAAUGUAUAGAAUUAUGUGAUAGAUCUUUGAACAAAAUUGAAAAACAAAACAAAACAAAACAAAACAAAACAAAGAAACAUAAAACCUUCUAAGAUGACUUGCUCCCUGUUUAGGUAGCAGUUUACCUCUUGUCAAAUAACAUGAGUAGAAUCACCUGGUUCUAUCCACAAUUUUUUGGUUGACACAUAGGAGAAUAUGUAGGUAUACAAGUUAUCACAAUUUACUCAUAGACCUCAAGGGUACUUAGAUUUUCAUCUACAAUCAGUUCUGGAAAAUUAUUUAGUAAAGUUGAUGCUACUUGGAUAUCUAAUGCAUGUACAUAGAUUUGCUGAUUGGAAUAGAAAGUCAUUCUCUUUUAGGAUAAAAUGACCAUUCUGCUUUUUUGACAUUUUAUUUAUUUAUUUAUUUUACAAAGGUUUUAUGCACCAGUAAGUCCCUGUAAACUAACACUUGGGAAUUGAAUACCCUUAUCACAAAGACAACUGGAGAAAGAUUUUUUGAAACUUACAAAGGAGGAGAGUCUCAAAAUUAAAAGGAAGAAAAGAGACAUAUUUUUACCUGACCAUAAUGUAUAAGAAUUUGAACUGAUGAUUCUGCUAGACUGUGUGUUAUGUACACAUCAAUACGGCUCUAGGAGAAAAUAAGAUACAACGUACAUUUGUCAGCAUUUAAUUUCCUUCCACAGAAACAAUUUCUUUCAAAAGAGUGAGGCUGUAUUACUUCCAUAUAAAAAGAACAGUGGUUUUUGCAAAGGACCCACAUUCAAUUCUGAGCACUUUUAUGGAGGCUCACAGACACCGAAAGCUCCAGUUCAUGGGCAUUCUACGACCCCUAUGUGCAUCAGAAUGUGAACAAACAUGAAUACAAGUAAAACACUCACACACACAAAGUAAAAGAUAAAAGCUAUUUAUGCCCAGUUUAUAAUGAAAGUCUUGAUUUUGACUGCAAUAAGGAAUCUACAUAUUAUUGUUACAAUAAGAAAGGUUUUCAUUUUUAAUUUUUUUGAGAUACAAAUACAAUUACAUCAUUUUUACUUUCUCUGCUCUCCAAUGUUACCACUUAUACUCCUUUACAUUCUCUAAAAUUUUGAACUAUAAAGUAUUUUUUAAAAUUGUUACACAUUCCUAAUAUGUAAAUACAACCUUCACAAGCAUAUAAUAUUACUUGCAUGUUUAUGAUUUCAGGGCUCACCACUGAGUUUUGUUAAGUAGAAAUAGUACUCACACCAAAAGUAUAGUGUGAGCUUCUCACAAGAGUUGACUCUAAUAUUUUUUUAACAGUACAUACAUAUUUUGUAUGUUUUGCUGUUAUGUUAUUCAAAGGAUGUGAUUUGCUAUGAAGGUAGAAGAUUUCGAAAAGCUUAGAUGUUAGAAAAUCUAAUCAUUUACUUCUCAUGUAUUAAAGAAUUUUUUGUUAAUAGAAUCCAUAUUGUAUGUGGUAGACUACAUGGACCUAUCCUUAAUUUUAGAGGACAAGUGCUGAGAUGGGGGUCAGUUACUUGAUGAAUGACAGCAGAUGCAUUCACUGAACCGAGUAGAAGAAAAGAUGAAAGUCAUCCAUCCUGAUACUCAGCUCUUUACUCAUAACUGGUGGACAACAGAUCUGUGCUCUCAUGCAUACAACUUCAACAUUGUUCUUUCUUGCAUACCGAUUAGGGUUCCUUGAGAAUGGCCAUAUCAGCUGAGGAGGCAGUUCAUUGGAAAGCAAUUGAGUAGUGAGUCUGAUCCACAGGACCCACCUUAAAAAUAAAAAAAGUCAGGUAUGAUGUUGACUACCUGAAAUACCAGCACAGGAGAAGAAAUAAAUAAUUUGGAUGAGC